rnacentral:lncRNA from 1 species
ACCCCCUCUAAACACCUAUAAACCCCUUAAAAGUGUGUAUGGGCGAAUAUGUGUGUGUGUUUGUGUUUGUGGAGGUGUGUGUAUGUGUUUGUCUGUGAGUGUGUGUGGAUGCAUGCGUGUAUGUGUUCUUGUGUUUAUGUCUCUGUGUGUGUUUGUGUGGGUAAUAUGUGUGUGUAGGUGUGUCUGUGUUUGGGUUUAUACAAUUACGUGUGUUUGUGUAUGUGUUUUUUUGUGUGUGUGUGUGUGAGAGUCUGUGUGUGUGCAUGUUUGUGUAUGUAUGAGUGUCUGUGUGUGUGUGUUUAUGUGAUUGUGUGUGUCAUGUGUGUGCGUGUGUCAUGUGUGUGCGUGUGUGUGUGUGUGUUUAUGUGUUUAUGUUGGUGGUAUGUGUGGGGGUAUAAGUUUGUAUGUGUGUG